rnacentral:rRNA from 1 species
GCAGCCGCGGUAAUACGUAGGUGGCGAGCGUUAUCCGGAUUUACUGGGUGUAAAGGGCGCGUAGGCGGGGGCGCAAGUCAGGUGUGAAAUCUAUGGGCUUAACCCAUAAACUGCACUUGAAACUGCAUCUCUUGAGUGCUGGAGAGGUAGAUGGAAUUCCUUGUGUAGCGGUGAAAUGCGUAGAUAUAAGGAAGAACACCAGUGGCGAAGGCGAUCUACUGGACAGUAACUGACGCUGAGGCGCGAAAGCGUGGGGAGCAAACAGGAUUAGAUACCCC